rnacentral:tRNA from 1 species
GGGGAAGUAGCUCAGUGGGAGAGCAUAGCAUUCGCAUUGCUAAGGUCGAGGGUUCAAAUCCCUUCUUCUCCACCA